UGGUGGACAUUGUUCACAGAAGAGAGGAUGUUUUCUUAUGAAAGGAAACGAGUCACAAACACAGAAUGAAAACAUCAACACCUGUAGUAUCAUCGGUUUAGAGAAAUCUCACAUUCAGAGCUAAGGUGUCACAGAAUGAGUCCUUUACAAACCCUUACCAGCCGUUACUAGCGCUGUGUAAGAACUGUGACAAAGACUGAGAUCUAGGAGCAAGCGAGUCUGCCUUUAACUCACUGGACGUGUAGCAUCCACCCACUUCAGCCAUCCUAACCUCAACCAUCGCCUCCCAUGAGCACCUCCUUGGUAUUUACCUGGUCUUUUCCACGUUUCUGACUAACUUCCUGCUUGUUUGCUCAGCUUAGCCCUCUUUCUACUAAGGGACCUUAGGACAAUUGAAGAAAUUUGAAUGUUACAUUUCAAAACUUGAAUAUGGUAGAAGGUAGAAUAACAGACUACUCAUAUUGUUUCUAUUUUAAGAGCAGUUAAAUGUAAACAAUAGCAAGUAAUGCCAAAUUGCUUAUUUAAAUGCACACUCAAAAAUUAUCAUCCGAACAGCACCCUUCUGAUGGACAGCCGGCGUCUCUGAUCACUUUUGCUUUUAUUUUCUCCAUUUCCAUGCAGGUCACAUUCGCUGGUCAGAGUGUGGGAAAACUAUGGGUAUUGGCACAGCCAGAGACACUGAGACAAGCUAGAUGGAAUUCAGUGGCAUCCGUAAUAGGGUUUGCAUGGGAAACUGUAUAUUCAAGCUGGGAUGAAGACAGGUGGAGGCUACUGUGGGGAUGGAAUCACUUAGUUGGUCCAGUUCCAUUAAGACAGGAUCAGACUGGUAAGGGGGAGUUGGAGCUGAGACUUUUCAGUACUGAGAGAGCUCCUGGGGAACUGGUUUUCACAGAGAAGACCAGGAACCAAUGCUGUCCUUUAUCCUGCAAAGUGUCAAAGGUUCUCUUCUAUCGUAAGGUCCUAGAGCUAAAAGAAGGAUAGAUCAUCAUGGAUUGGAGAAUUAAAACUCUGUGGGAGAAUUAGUUAUUCUCAUUUUUCCCCAUAUACUCCUUUUCUAGACUAUGGACAGAAUUUCUGAAAAAGCAGGGACUAAUAUCUGAAUGCUCUUUGAGUCAAUAGUUUUAUCUGGCUGGUAAAAUAAAGCUUAGAUUUUAACUCAAGAGGGUGCUUGAUUAGCAUCAUAGAUAUCCUCAGAAAGACAAUUAGACUUAACUGAAAAAGUCUCAGUGCUAAGAAAAUACUAUUAUUGUUGUUGUUAUUGUUAUGCUUUUAUGUGUUAAACCAAAUUCUUAUCCACUUGGCAUUAUCAAAAUUUAACAGCCUCUAAAUCCAUUGUCCUAUGAAAAAAUAAUAGCCUUUUAUCAAAUUUCUGCACCUUGUAAAAUAGUCUUGAUGCUAAAUCAAAGAAAUUCAGAUGUCUUCCAAAAACAGUUCUUUUUAUUAGGGGGAUAAAAGAGAAUUAAAGAUGAAGUGAGACUUCUGGAUUCUUAAUCAUAUUUUCACACACCUCAACCCAGAUUCUGUAUUUCAACAAGGUGAUUCCAAUGUGCAAAGAGGUUUGAAGGCCUGUGAUAGAGUUCAGAACAAGUAUCUUUAAAAUAAUGGGUUUCUCAUUCAAAUGUUUAUACUUCCGUAAUUUGUUUUGAAACUGCUUUAGUAACUCAAAUUAGUGGUCACCAUAUUCCUCAUUAAUGUCAUUCAACAAUAUUCACAAUGAGUUGCGACUUCCUAAAAUACAGACCUGAACGAUGUAUUCCAGAAUAACGUUUUAGCUACAUAAUCGAUUUAUUGAGUCUGUUGCAUGGAGGAAACAGAUUAUUUAAGACCUAAUCUCAGCAUUUAACAGAGUGCACAUCUGAUGGGACUGACAAUUUCACACAUAGAGAAAAGCCCCUGAUACAGUCUAAAUCAGACAGUGUACACUGGGAGUGUCCCAGAAGUUCAAAGGAGGGGUGACCCCAGGUGGAGGGAGACCUGGCAUAGCACACGGUUGGCUGUGCUUUUAAACCCACUAAGCGCUGUACGAAAAGAGUAAUUAGCAAAUGCAAAUUCAGUUUGUGGACACACCAACAUUCUUUUCCAAAACAUCACUAACUCAUUUUGAAGAUAAAGUAAACUUAACUUGGGUUAGUAUCAAAAUAAUUUAAAUGUACCUGUGAGGGGUAAAGAAGCAUUUCUCCUUCACAGAAAGAAGACUUACUUUCCACAUGACUGUUUAUGGGAAAACUGGGAGGUCAUCUUCCUGCAGCUUUUAUAAUACAAAGAUGACACAUGGGCUGUUUUGCAUUAAUGAGGCUGAUGAAUCUCACCACAUGGCACUGCAACUUGGUGUUCCCUGAUUUCCACGAUGUCCUAUGAAACUGAUAUCAGAGUUCCUGUUAUCAG
rnacentral:lncRNA from 1 species